rnacentral:rRNA from 1 species
CGACGGGUGAGUAACACGUAUGCAAUCCACCUGUAACAGGGGGAGUAACCCGGAGAAAUCCGGACUAAUACCCCAUAAUAUGGGCGCUCCGCAUGGAGAGUCCAUUAAAGAGAGCAAUCUUGGUUACAGACGAGCAUGCGCUCCAUUAGCCAGUUGGCGGGGUAACGGCCCACCAAGGCGACGAUGGAUAGGGGUUCUGAGAGGAAGGUCCCCCACAUUGGAACUGAGACACGGUCCAA